UUACAAACUAAGGCCUUAAUUUUUUUUUAAAAAAACAUAGGUGCAUAAUGAGAAUAAGUUAGAAUAAUUGGAGAUGCUUUCUGCUUAUACUGGGUGACCUAUACUAUCAGUUGCUAGCUAGCCGAAGAACACAUUUCAUCUUACCUAGACACAGUUGAUAUAUUGUGGUGCAACAGAUCCUCCUUCUUAUCCUACGAACUCUUCACUCUAUUAAUGAGUUUGCCAUUUGGCCAAGAAAAAUUCUUAAAUGCUCCAAAACGGCUCUAACUUUUAUGUAUGACCUUACAGAAGUGGUUUUAUGACUCAAAAACCUUCCAUCUCAUUCUGUGGUUCCAAGAGUGAAAUUGUUGAAUGAGUUUCAGAUAAGGGCACCAAAUAUGGCAAAUGAUAAAAAAAUUGUUGAAGUGGCCUUGAUGUUUGAUUUCAUAGGGGACAAGUAAGGUGAUACCUAUCCCUCAGAAUGAAUUUAUUUCAAAAUAUAAACUGCCAUGUGAAUGUAGUCUGACGAAUAAGAGAUUUACAUGUAGCCAUCGUUCUUACAUAUUAUAAAUUUGACUUGAUUCUUGAUCAACAAUAAUGGGUAAAGAAGUUAACAUGUAGCCAUCGUGUGCUUACAAAUUAUGAAUUUGACUUGAUUCUUGAUCAGCAACAAUGGGUAAAGAAUGAUUUUGUUUUUGUUGACGAGACACAUGCUAAAGGGAAAAAUAUGCAAGGUGAGCAAGUCGUUUAAUGUGAGCAUUUUAUUGAUUCCUCUCUUUGGUUCUAUAUGAUCUUUUGCACACGUGAAUAUUGUAGAUAUUAUUAAUUAGCCUCCACCAUGCAUUAGAAUGGAUCUAUAUUAUUGAAAUAUAUUUGUAAAUAUGGAGCCCUUCAAAUGCUGAUCAGGGAGUAGGCACUUCGGGCUGGUUUUGCUAUGAAACUUGAUCAUGAAGUUAUGCUAAUGGUUUGCUCUCUUACUACCUGGAAAAAACAAAAUCUCACAUGCAGUUAGAGCACGCUGUCAUCGCUAAGUUCCCAAACAAUGAUAGACAUGCCAUCUUCCCAGAGACUAUUUUAGAGUUCGCUGUUCUACAGAUGCCAACCUCUUCGGAGCCUUCAGCAACAUAUGCAGUGUGUCAAACGAACUGCGGUCGUUCGUAAACAGAUGCAACGUUCCUUUUGUCACCAACCCAUCAAAAGCCAUGCAGUCCUAACAAAUGUAACAUAGAACUAUCAGCAUAUAAUAUAAUAUCUAUCUAAUUCAGCACAUACAACAUAUCUCCAUCCAUUAACAUCAGCUCUUUCCAUACCUACUAACAACAUAUGCCAUAUACUAAUUAGUGACAGCAAGAUUCCAAAAUUAGAGGUUUAUGCAAUCUAUACAUCCUAUUCACCACAUUUCUUCCAUGUUCAAUAUUUUUGCUAUAACUACAUAUGCGCGUGAUGGCGCGCGCCCUUCACUAGUAGCCUUUAAUAGGAUCACUCUCGAAAAAAACCAGUGACGUUCGUGUGAGGACGAACCAAUUUUUUUUCCAUGAAUUCUAUCCAGUUCCAAAUAUAGUAAUUGUAACAUCAUUACAGACUAGAACAAAGAAAAAUGAGGUGUGCCACAAAUAAUUUUACUGUUCGAUGAUAUUAAGAGAGGGCCACUCUUAAAUACCUGCCAGAAGGUGAAGGCAUGUCAGAAUAUUGUAAUAAUAACUGUAAAUACGAAAGAAAAGAGACUAAGUGCACUUCCAAUGCAGAAACUAUCAUAAUUUCUAUAAAUAUUAAUUGAUGUGGCACCUAAGCAUUUUGCUGACGUGACAAGGUA